CUGGAACCGUCUGAGCGGCGGGGGAGCCGGUGUGUGAAGCCGGCACCACGUUAGCGGAACCGAGUUAUUGAAGGGCCCCACCUGGGUGGAGCCGUGAGUGUGAGCAGCUUCCGCUUCCCCCGGAAGCUGGCGUCGUGCAGGAACCCUCACCCGCCCGAGCGGGGCCCUGGGCCUCCGGGUCACUCUCUGUGGCGGGGUCUGGCUGCGCGUCAGACGGCCUCCUCCAAUGCCCGCAGUUGCUGUCGCCCCCAGGCCUGGACCGGGGAGUGAGGGGUGGGCCUGACCGGCCCCUGAGCUCCCGUCAGCCCCCCACGCGAGCCCGUCCUGUGCUGGGGGCAGGGAGAUGGGCCGGUGGGAGAGGAGACCGCAUCCAGCCCUCCCUGGCCACCUGCAGGGUCCCCACCGUGGCGGCUGCUUUACUGCUAACUCCUCCCGGGGACCCCAAGUCCCCAUCGCUCUCGGGGGUCCCCCUCAUCCGAACCGCCUCGGAGGAGGGCCGCAUCUCACGCGGAGCACCCCUCCACGCCUGUGACCCUGGACUUGCUCUCCCGCCCCCGCCCGGGCCUCAGGGCUCAGGAGGCCGUGAUGAAGCCAGCAGGUGAACUGCACCCUGGAGCCUCCGACGGGGCGGCCACGGGCAGCGAAGAACCCGGAAAAACAGUACCCUUCUGAGGUUAAUCCGCGUUGAUAGAAGCAGGUGUGGUUCAUCUGGAAUCUGUUGGUGUGAACUGCGCGGCGGCGUCCCCCACCAGGCACCACAGGUGAUUCAUUCGUUUCCCUGAAAAGGCGCCUGGAUGCUGUUUCUAGCUCCCGUUAUCCCCAGCGAUGCUGCACCUGCCCCAGGACACACGCUAGGGUGGAACCGCCGGGCAUGGAGCAGGUGUGGUCUCAACCGCAGGAGAAACAGCCGGGUAGCCUCCAAAGGGACGUGCCACUUGGCGCUCCUGCAAGGGGAGAGGCACUGAGGCUCUCGGUCCUCACCAGCACGUCCUUGUGCCACACUCAGGCCCGGCGGGUGGUGUGGGGGCCGCAUCUCAUGGAGGUCUCCGUCCACGUUGCCCCCAUUGUGACCGCAGCGGGCGCCUCUUGGUAGCAGCCACCGGCCUCUUCUGGGACUCGCCGGAGGGUUUCCACGUCGCCCGCUCCGACGGGGCUGUUCAUCUCCCCUUGAUCUGUGGGACUCCCCGUCCGUCUCAGGUAUGACCCCUUUGUUGGUGAUCUGGGUUGCAGAUAUCCCCUCUGUGUCUGUGGCUUGUCUCGCUGCGUUGUUUAUGGUGCGCUUUUGUCAUGCAGACGUUUCUAAUUUUGCUCUGUCUGGACUUGGCAAUCUUUCUGUUCGUGAUUUGUGCUUUUGGUGUUUAUGUACAAACUCUUUCCCGGUCCAGAAAGCAUAAAAAAGUUUGCUUUGUG
rnacentral:lncRNA from 10 species